UCCCAGGUGGCUCAAUGGUAAAGAAUCUGCCUGCCAAGCAGGAGACAUUGAUCCCUGGGAU
rnacentral:tRNA from 1 species